AUGUCGAGCUCCGGCAGCGCGGCGUUUGGCGGCGGAUCUGGCGAUGACGACCCCGUCGAUUGGGAGUCGCUGCAGCGCGGCGAGGGCAAUGAGGAGCUCGCCCUCCACAUUGUGUUGCAGCGGUCCCGGGUGGACAGGGGCGGCUCCUCCUCCAUGCAGUCCCCAGUCGCCUGGCAACGCAGCGCGGACGCCGACACCCGUCCCCAGCUCCCCACCGCCCUCCCCCCGGCGCCCCUCUGCAACCGCUCAUCUCCGUGCUCUUACCAACAAAAACAAGCAGCCGGUGACUUCAAGGAUGAUGGAAGCUCCUUCAUGUGCUCCCGGCUCUACAUCGCCACGUUCCAGGGGCGCCCGCAGGAGGUCGCCGGCCUCCUGGCGGGAAGAAGCGGCGACGCACCGCCGGCAGCGCACUCCAAAGGUAUCGCGGUUGUUGAUCACCAUGGGCGACCAUGUACGACCCAGGAGGUCACCGGAGAGGGGAACACGCUCCUGCACAUCGCCGCCGGGCAGGGCCACGGAGGGCUCAUCGCCGAGGUGUGCUACCACGACAGCUCCCUCCUGUCCUCCGUGAACCGGGCGCUGGACACGCCGCUGCACAGCGCCGCGAGGGCCGGCCACGCGGACGCCGCGGAGGCCGUCGUCCGGCUGGCGCGGGCGAACGUGGAGGAGGACGCGCUCCGCGGGAUCCUCCGCGGCAGGAACGACGCCGGGGACACGGCGCUGCACCUGGCCGCGAGGCGGUGGAGAGGCUCAUGA
rnacentral:rRNA from 1 species